AGAGUUUGAUCAUGGCUCAGAACGAACGCUGGCGGCAUGCCUAACACAUGCAAGUCGAACGAAGUCUUCGGACUUAGUGGCGCACGGGUGCGUAACGCGUGGGAAUCUGCCCUUGGGUGCGGAAUAACUUCUCGAAAGGGAUGCUAAUACCGCAUAAUGUCGUAAGACCAAAGAUUUAUCGCCCAAGGAUGAGCCCGCGUAAGAUUAGCUAGUUGGUGGGGUAAAAGCCUACCAAGGCGACGAUCUUUAGCUGGUCUGAGAGGAUGAUCAGCCACACUGGGACUGAGACACGGCCCAGACUCCUACGGGAGGCAGCAGUGGGAAUAUUGGACAAUGGGCGAAAGCCUGAUCCAGCAAUGCCGCGUGAGUGUUGAAGGCCCUAGGGUUGUAAAGCUCUUUACCAGGGAUGAUAAUGACAGUACCUGGAGAAUAAGCUCCGGCUAACUCCGUG
rnacentral:rRNA from 1 species